rnacentral:tRNA from 1 species
GCGGCGGUAGUUCAGUUGGUUAGAAUAUCGGCCUGUCACGCCGGAGGUCGCGGGUUCGAGCCCCGUCCGCCGCGCCA